CAAUCCUAGAGAUAGGACGUCCCCUUCGGGGGCAGAGUGACAGGUGGUGCAUGGUUGUCGUCAGCUCGUGUCGUGAGAUGUUGGGUUAAGUCCCGCAACGAGCGCAACCCUUGAUCUUAGUUGCCAGCAUUCAGUUGGGCACUUUAAGGUGACUGCCGGUGACAAACCGGAGGAAGGGGGGGAGGACGUCAAAUCAUCAUGCCCCUUAUGACCUGGGCUACACACGUGCUACAAUGGACAGAACAAAGGGCAGGGAAACCGCGAGGUUAAGCCAAUCCCACAAAUCUGUUCUCAGUUCGGAUCGCAGUCUGCAACUCGACUGCGUGAAGCUGGAAUCGCUAGUAAUCGCGGAUCAGCAUGCCGCGGUGAAUACGUUCCCGGGCCUUGUACACACCGCCCGUCACCCCACGAGAGUUUGUAACACCCGAAGUCGG
rnacentral:rRNA from 1 species